rnacentral:rRNA from 1 species
UACGUAGGGUGCGAGCGUUGUCCGGAAUUACUGGGCGUAAAGAGCUCGUAGGUGGUUUGUCGCGUUGUUCGUGAAAACUCACAGCUUAACUGUGGGCGUGCGGGCGAUACGGGCAGACUGGAGUACUGCAGGGGAGACUGGAAUUCCUGGUGUAGCGGUGAAAUGCGCAGAUAUCGGGAGGGACACCGGUGGCGAAGGCGGUUCUCUGGGCCUUACCUGACGCUGAGGAGCGAAAGCGUGGGGAGCGAACAGG